GCGGGAAUAGCUCAGUGGUAGAGCACCACCUUGCCAAGGUGGGGGUCGCGAGUUCGAGCCUCGUUUCCCGCUCCA
rnacentral:tRNA from 1 species